CAGAGAAUAGUUUAAAAAAUAUUAAUUUUGGAGAUUAAAGAUAGAAGGAAAAUUCUUUCUCUGA
rnacentral:tRNA from 1 species